rnacentral:rRNA from 1 species
GAUGAACGCUGGCGGCGUGCCUAAUACAUGCAAGUCGAGCGAACGGACGAGAAGCUUGCUUCUCUGAUGUUAGCGGCGGACGGGUGAGUAACACGUGGAUAACCUACCUAUAAGACUGGUAUAACUUCGGGAAACCGGAGCUAAUACCGGAUGAUAUUUUGAACCGCAUGGUUCAAAAGUGAAAGACGGUCUUGCUGUCACUUAUAGAUGGAUCCGCGCUGCAUUAGCUAGUUGGUAAGGUAACGGCUUACCAAGGCAACGAUGCAUAGCCGACCUGGGAGGGUGAUCGGCCACACUGGAACGGAGACGCGGUCCAGACGCCUACGGGAGGCAGCAGUAGGGAAUCUUCCGCAAUGGGCGAGAACCUGACGGAGCAACGCCGCGUGAGUGAUGAAGAUCUUCGGAUCGUAAAACUCUGUUAUUAGGGAAGAACAUAUGUGUAAGUAACUGUGCACAUCUUGACGGUACCUAAUCAGAAAGCCACGGCUAACUACGUG